UCGAGGGGCAGCAUGAACUUAGCUUGCUAAGUUUGAUGGCGACCGGCGCACGGGUGAGUAACACGUAUCCAACCUGCCGAUGACUCGGGGAUAGCCUUUCGAAAGAAAGAUUAAUACCCGAUGGCAUAGUUCUUCCGCAUGGUGGAACUAUUAAAGAAUUUCGGUCAUCGAUGGGGAUGCGUUCCAUUAGGUUGUUGGCGGGGUAACGGCCCACCAAGCCUUCGAUGGAUAGGGGUUCUGAGAGGAAGGUCCCCCACAUUGGAACUGAGACACGGUCCAAACUCCUACGGGAGGCAGCAGUGAGGAAUAUUGGUCAAUGGACGAGAGUCUGAACCAGCCAAGUAGCGUGAAGGAUGACUGCCCUAUGGGUUGUAAACUUCUUUUAUACGGGAAUAAAGUGAGGCACGUGUGCCUUUUUGUAUGUACCGUAUGAAUAAGGAUCGGC
rnacentral:rRNA from 1 species